rnacentral:rRNA from 1 species
GAUUUCUGGCUUGAAACAUUUUGCCGGCCACGGUUUCGUGUGUUAGUGCUUGAUGUUCUGGCCAUCCUUCCAAUCGCUACCUACUCUUCUUCAUUGAAGGGUAGAUGGUAUUGGAUCUUUUACUUUGAAAAAAUUAGAGUGUUUCAAGCAGGCUUUAUGCUAUGAAUACAUUAGCAUGGAAUAAUAAUUUAGGACUUCGGUUCUAUUUUGUUGGUUUCUAGGACUGAAGUAAUGAUUGAUAGGGAUAGUUGGGGGUGCUAGUAUUCAGCGGCCAGAGGUGAAAUUCUCGGAUUCGCUGAAGACUAACUUAUGCGAAAGCAUU